GUUUGCUCGUCUUGCGGAACACUUGCAAACCAAGUCACUCGCAAUCCAAGGUUUUACUGUAGUAGGAUUGCAACUUCACACAUAUGGGCAGAUUAAUUAACCUCUCUGAAUCUCAGGUGUCCUUAUCUUAAAAUAGAGAUGAUGAUGAUACCCAUUUGGAAUCCUGAGUGGAGAAUGCACAGUUCACCAACUGGACUUAACAGCAAGAUAGCAACCACCAUCUAACCUCUGACACCCUACCUCACACAAAAUGCCUCAGCUCAAAGGCCUUACAUAAGAGGUCUAGUUGGAAUCUAUGGAACAGAUGUCAUCCUUGACAUCUUUCAGCACUGCCUCAAACCCAAAAACCAGUUAGCAGGCAUUUUGGGGACCUUCUCAUUCCAGUCCUGCCUUCUGGUGAUCUUCCUACCAACCCUCUCAAUAAUUAUGCCACCUGGGAGCCCUAUUUAGCUACAAAUGAGGCACUGUACACUCAACCUCUUUAUUGAACAGUUCCUGCACUGUGUUCCCUCCCAAGGACACCCCAGUACUGAGCUGCCUUCAUAAGGAGGCUCUUCAAUCUCCCACUCUCUAUGCACUGCAAGGCCGAGACAUGGCCACCAGCUUGUGGCAGAUCCAAGUUUUAUGGGGACUACUAUAAAAUUCGGGGGACUCUUUAAGAAAAAUAUUAUAAAAUUAUGAAUACAAAUAUCUUGGGAUGUUUCUCUCUCACCUAGCUGGUCACUCUGCCACAUUCUUUGAGGACAUAGGAACCUAUAAUGACUACAAUAUGAAGGAGCGGGUGAUUCAUCCAAAAUCCCAGCUUCACAGGUCUUUUCCUUCCUCAGUGCCAAUGACCUCCACAUCCAUAGCACUUAAGCAAACCACUAGCAUGGCCGGCCACCUGUUGGACCUUGUUAUAACUUGCAACUGCUCCAACUAUGAAAUCCUAAACUUCAAAUUUCCAUUCAGACCACAACCCUGCUCCUCUAGCUCUUUACCUCUCAUGUGGAAGUCCUCCAUUAAUUUUUCUCCACAUGAUCAACUCCUCUCUAACAUUACUUACUUUCUCUUCCUGCUAUCCUAGGCCACUAGCAAGGGUGAGGUAAGGUAUCUGGGGGGCAAAAUUUAAGGAGGCACUCGUGCGCAGGGUCAUAACAAGUGCAGGAUAUACAAUAUGUGCCAUGAUGUAUUAUUACUUUAUUUUGUCACCAUCACACUGAACUUCUGAAACCCUUGACUUUUCUUUCCAUAAGCCCUGCAAAACCACAGUCUUUGAGCCAUCCAACCAUCUCAGUGUUUGUCCAAACGACUGAACAUGGCUGAGCAAGUGACAUACCACUGCAGAUGCGGGCCAAUACAAAUUACUGGUCUCCACCCCAAUUCAGCCCCCAAAUCUACCAGCAACCCUUUUGCAUGUCUGUUGGUUACUGCUUCUUCCAUUCCCGGCAGCAGUAUGGCAGACAUUGUUAGUUGUCUGCUCUGUUAAUACCCAUUCUCUUCCUUAGUCACAGCAACCCAGUUUCUUCCAAGUGACAAUAUGCCCAGCUAAAAGACAACUUCUUUCAGCCAUGAGAAGCCAAUGUGCUGAAACCUGAAGUUGGGUGGGUCUUCUAGAAAAACUCCUGAAGAGCAAAACUGAAGACAGAGAAGCAGCAAUGUGCCCUUGGUGCUCCCCACACCCCCUUUUCCUCCUCCUCCUCCUGGUUUCUACUUGGAAAAGGUAUCCUGAAACAUGAGGCAAUUUGAAGAUAAAGGCCAGGGCUAAGGAUGGUAGAGCGGAAAGAGAGGAGAUUGGAUUCUUCAUGACAGCAAGGAGCUACCAGCCCAGCCCUGGAUGGCUCACUUCCAGACUUCUUUAUGUGAAAGAACAACUUUGAUCAAGUUUCAGCCACUGCUAUUGCUGGUCAAACACAAUUUCUACCCACUAAUGCUGUUGGUCAUCCCAAAUUCUCAAUGCUCCCUACAAGUGUUAUUCCUGCCUUAACUUUAUUCAUUGGGGGAAAAAAUCGCUCAUUAGAUGCUAAUGCGCUUAAAUUCCUGCCUUUAGGCCUUCAUUUCCCUCCAAUCUUAAAGACUUUCUUCCGUCCAAGGCAAAACAUUGCAACCAGGUGUAGCUACUCUCCUCCUCAGAAUAUCCUAAUAUUCCCUCUCUCCACUGUCUGCACCAUCUCCCUGUCUCUCCAUUUAGGAGAUAAAAAUACCAAAAUAUCUUGCCUUAAAAAAAAAAAAAGUACAAAUACAGAGCAGUCUGUAUUUGCCAACUUCACUUUCAAACUGCCCAUCUAUCACCCCACAGACGGCUUGCUGUGGCUUUCUGUCCACCACCUUCCCCAACCAGUGGCAUCCUAAUUGCCAAAGCUGCCUCUUCCCUGAUGUUUCUCCUGGUAGCAUGAAGCAAGCUCGAGCACCUCCUGUGUGAAUCUUCCUCCUCUCAACAGGAGGCGGCCAGGAGCUCAGAGAAGCAGCGAUAACCUGCCCUAAUUCAACACACUUAAGUGGAGGGGAGAGUCGGAAGAGCGAGGGGAACAGGGGACUUGCCAGCCCUCUGGAAGAGCCAUCAACAGGGCGUCUCCGCGCACGAGUUCCAGAAGGGAGGAUUAAGGCUGCACCCAGGGCGUGACGCACACCACUGCUCCACACCUCGGGGUCCAAGCCCGGGUGGGCUUCUUCACUUGCUUUCUGGAGGUGCCCCAGGCCCGGGCCUAGAACAGGACGCAUGCGCGGGCGAAUGGUGGGGGCGGUGCCUGCUCCAUGCGCAGCACGUGGCCGACCCGUGGCGCAUAUAAAGGCGGCGCCAGCGCCAAGGCCGCUAUAGACGCUCCGGGUUGUAGACGUGUCUCUGGAAGUGUGCCGUGUGCCACCACAAAGGGUCCCAGUCUCAGACUUCGAGCUAGAGCAGCCUAGAAAAUGAACCCUUCAGAGAACAGUUUUGACAGCAACAGUGCCAGACCGUUUAUCGUGCACAGCAUGGCCCAGCAGCCUUACCCAAGUUUCUGGUACCAGAAUCCUGCCUAUAAUCCAGUCUUCGUUCCCGCGGCAGGACCCAGAAAUGGAAGCCUGUAUUUCCCAUAUUCAGUGGUGCCCAGUGAGUAUCCUGG